rnacentral:rRNA from 1 species
AGACAGUUCGGUCCCUAUCUGCCGCGGGCGCAGGAGAUCUGAGGAGGUCUGCCCUUAGUACGAGAGGACCGGGGUGGACAGACCUCUGGUGAUCCGGUUGUUCCGCCAGGAGCAUUGCCGGGUAGCUACGUCUGGAACGGAUAACCGCUGAAAGCAUCUAAGCGGGAAGCCGGCUCCAAGAGUGAUCUCCCGGACCUUAUGGUCCCCUAAGGCCGCAGGAAGAUUACCUGUUUGAUAGGCCGGAGGUGGAAGCAUGGCAACAUGUGAAGCUGACCGGUACUAAUUGGCCGGGAGACCUGACUUA